GAGUGGAGCAGGUGUGUCGUGCCACAGUGUAGUGGGCAGAAAGUCGGAGGGUGGACAGGCUACACGGACCUUGUUAUCUACUGAGUGGAGUAGGUGUGUCGUGCCACAGUGUAGUGCGCAGAACGUCGGAGGGUGGACAAAUUACGCUGGCGGUGCUCUCUGAUCCUGACAUAUUCGUGAAGUAAAGGAAUUUAACAAAAUGGAUUCCCUACACGCUGAGAUGUUUGGAUCGUUGCUGAUCAUUGUAUUUUCUGCAGUACAGGGUGUCACGGUGUGCGAGUGGGGCAAGUAUGGACACAACUGUGACCGACUUUGUUCAGAAUACUGUGGACUUCAUCCUGGCAGAAACCUUCGACCCUGCCACAAAGAUACUGGGAAGUGUUUGCAAGGGUGUGU